GGACGGGUGAGUAACACGUGGGUAACCUACCUAUAAGACUGGGAUAACUUCGGGAAACCGGAGCUAAUACCGGAUAAUAUUUCGAACCGCAUGGUUCGAUAGUGAAAGAUGGCCUUGCUAUCACUUAUAGAUGGACCUGCGCCGUAUUAGCUAGUUGGUAAGGUAACGGCUUACCAAGGCAACGAUACGUAGCCGACCUGAGAGGGUGAUCGGCCACACUGGAACUGAGACACGGUCCAGACUCCUACGGGAGGCAGCAGUAGGGAAUCUUCCGCAAUGGGCGAAAGCCUGACGGAGCAACGCCGCGUGAGUGAUGAAGGUCUUCGGAUCGUAAAACUCUGUUAUUAGGGAAGAACAUACGUGUAAGUAACUGUGCACGUCUUGACGGUACCUAAUCAGAAAGCCACGGCUAACUACGUGCCAGCAGCCGCGGUAAUACGUAGGUGGCAAGCGUUAUCCGGAAUUAUUGGGCGUAAAGCGCGCGUAGGCGGUUUUUUAAGUCUGAUGUGAAAGCCCACGGCUCAACCGUGGAGGGUCAUUGGAAACUGGAAAACUUGAGUGCAGAAGAGGAAAGUGGAAUUCCAUGUGUAGCGGUGAAAUGCGCAGAGAUAUGGAGGAACACCAGUGGCGAAGGCGACUUUCUGGUCUGUAACUGACGCUGAUGUGCGAAAGCGUGGGGAUCAAACAGGAUUAGAUACCCUGGUAGUCCACGCCGUAAACGAUGAGUGCUAAGUGUUAGGGGGUUUCCGCCCCUUAGUGCUGGCAGCUAACGCAUUAAGCACUCCGCCUGGGGGAGUACGACCGC
rnacentral:rRNA from 1 species